UCCAACCAUAAAUCUUCAAGAAAAUCCUUAAAAGUUUAGGGGGUGUAUUGAACUUAAACUUUUAGGAGAUUUUGGAUUUUUAUUAAAAUCCCAUAUUAUUCAACUAAUGAUUUCUAAAUACUUUUUCAAAUCAUGUGUUAUUGAAAAUGGGAUUUAUGUAAAGCUACAAAAAUCACUUGAAAUUUCUAGUUAUUCAAUCAACAAUUUAUAAAACUCAAAUCAAAUCCAGUUUUAUUGAAAUCAAAACACUGUUUUGAGGAAAAAGUUAUGAAAAAGAUUUUGGGAGAGUUUUACGUCAAUUCGUAGUUAAAAACAGAGAUGUCGAAAUUCCAUCUCUAAAGUAGUUAUUCAGAGGAGUUCAAAAUAAAAUAAAAACUCUCUUUGAAAACAUCACAAAUAUUUCCGCAUAUCUUCUUCUUCUUCUUCUUUGAAUUUUCCGUUUGAUUACUUUUCUCUAUAAUCAAUCGUUCACAUUGUUUUUUUUUUCUCUUACAACAUCCUUGAUUUCUCAUCCCCCAUAUUCUCAAGCCCUUUAAUCGCCGAGAUCCUCUGUUUCUUCUAUGACUGCUACGUGUUCUUCCCAGUGGUGAGAACUGCGAGUCCGGCUAUACAAUUGAGGGCAAAAAAGAGUUGAUUGUGAUAUGAUAGUGAGGUACCAGUCAAGAAAAUGACAGUCUCAGCUUAUGGUUUGGCAAUAGCAGUUUAAGUAAACAUAUGAGAUGUAUAAAUGAUAAGUAUAUGUAUAUUUCAGUGUGUGUAUGUCUUCGAACAGAAAGUAUAGAAUAUGAGUUGUUUUUACCAUAAGUAGUUAAAGAUUGUGGGUGAAAAGCAUUUGGCGUUUGCAAAACAAAGAAGUAUCUGACGUUGAGAAGGAUUUCUUGCACAAGGAACUCCAUUGUUACCACAUUUUUGUUAGGACUGUCUUGUAAAUUUAUUAGGAUUGCAAAAGUAGUAUCUGGGACAAAACUUUGAAAAUGCAACUAUUUUUUAUUGAUCUUGCUUAUUUU